rnacentral:siRNA from 1 species
UGUGAUUCGCUACUUUCAGCGC